rnacentral:tRNA from 1 species
UCGUAAAUAGUGUUAAUGGUCAGCACGUCGAGUUGUGAUUUCGAUAGUAUGAGUUCAAAUCUCAUUUUACUCA